rnacentral:misc_RNA from 1 species
AACGCAUAUUGCGCUCUUUGGUAUUCCGAAGAGCAUGCUUGUUUGAGUAUCAGUAAACACCUCAAAGCUUUUGAUUUUUUUUAAAAGUUUUGGACUUGAGCAAUCCCAACACCAGUCUUUUUUAGAUCGGCGGCGGGUUGCUUGAAAUGCAGGUGCAGCUGGACAUUCUCCUGAGCUAAAAGCAUAUUUAUUUAGUCCCGUCAAACGGAUUAUUACUUUUGCUGCAGCUAAUAUAAAGGGAGUUUGACCGUAUUGGCUGACUGAUGCAGGAUUUCACAAGGGUCGGCAACGAUUCUUGUAAAACUCGAUCUCAAAUCAAGUAAGACUACCCGCUGAACUUAA